rnacentral:rRNA from 1 species
CCCUUAGAUGUCCGGGGCCGCACGCGCGCUACACUGAAGGAAUCAGCGUGGCUUUCUCCCUGACCCGAAAGGGUUGGGAAACCCGUUGAAUCUCCUUCGUGAUAGGGAUUGGGGCUUGAAAUUGUUCCCCAUGAACGAGGAAUUCCCAGUAAGCGCGAGUCAUAAGCUCGCGUUGAUUACGUCCCUGCCCUUUGUACACACCGCCCGUCGCUACUACCGAUUGAACGGUUUUGUGAGGGCCUCGGAUUGGUCUCGGCCCGCUCUUUACCGGGCGGCGCCGUUGGUCGAGAAGACGCUCGAACUUGAUCGUUUAGAGGAAGUAAAAGUCGUAACA